rnacentral:rRNA from 1 species
CCUACGGGUGGCAGCAGUGGGGAAUAUUGGACAAUGGGCGAAAGCCUGAUCCAGCCAUGCCGCGUGUGUGAAGAAGGCCUUCGGGUUGUAAAGCACUUUCAGUGGGGAAGAAAGCCUUGGGGCUAAUACCCUCGAGGAAGGACAUCACCCACAGAAGAAGCACCGGCUAACUCCGUGCCAGCAGCCGCGGUAAUACGGAGGGUGCGAGCGUUAAUCGGAAUUACUGGGCGUAAAGCGCGCGUAGGCGGUCUGAUAAGCCGGUUGUGAAAGCCCCGGGCUCAACCUGGGAACGGCAUCCGGAACUGUCAGGCUAGAGUGCAGGAGAGGAAGGUAGAAUUCCCGGUGUAGCGGUGAAAUGCGUAGAGAUCGGGAGGAAUACCGGUGGCGAAGGCGGCCUUCUGGACUGACACUGACGCUGAGGUGCGAAAGCGUGGGUAGCAAACAGGAUUAGAUACCCGUGUAGUC